GUGCUUGCUUUGCAACACAUGUACUAAAAUUGGAACAAUAUAGAGAAGAUUAGCAUGGCCCCUGCACAAGGAUGACAUGCAAAUUUGUGAAACAUUCUAUAGUUUU